ACUCCUACGGGAGGCAGCAGUGGGGAAUAUUGCACAAUGGGCGCAAGCCUGAUGCAGCCAUGCCGCGUGUGUGAAGAAGGCCUUCGGGUUGUAAAGCACUUUCAGUCGUGAGGAAGGUAGUGUAGUUAAUAGCUGCAUUAUUUGACGUUAGCGACAGAAGAAGCACCGGCUAACUCCGUGCCAGCAGCCGCGGUAAUACGGAGGGUGCGAGCGUUAAUCGGAAUUACUGGGCGUAAAGCGCAUGCAGGUGGUUGUUAAGUCAGAUGUGAAAGCCCGGGGCUCAACCUCGGAAUAGCAUUUGAAACUGGCAGACUAGAGUACUGUAGAGGGGGUAGAAUUUCAGGUGUAGCGGUGAAAUGCGUAGAGAUCGUGAAGGAAUACCGGUGGCGAAGGCGGCCCCUGGACAGAUACUGACACUCAGAUGCGAAAGCGUGGGAGCAAACGA
rnacentral:rRNA from 1 species